UCGAGCCGGUGAAGAUUUAAUCAAAUUAUGGGCUAACUUGAACAGAUCCGUAAUAAUCUGGAGUAUGUUUUUUCAUGAUGUUGAACGUUUACAUGCAUAUUGGUCAGCUUUAUCAACCUUUCUGAUCGAUUUUUUUUCCUUUGAAAAAAUAACCAGUCUGGUUGCGGAUGAAUCUCCAGUCGUCAGCCUAACCUCUCCCUCCCGAUCCCUCCAUGGAUUCUUCGAAGAUUCAAGCUCCAAAAAUGAUUAUAGACCGACACUGGCUGUAGUACUCAGAGACUGAAGACGGUCCGAUGCAGUAGAGGAGCAUGUUGGUGUCUCCGGCCAAACGUCACGAACAGCCCAACAACCUGAAGACAAUCUGUUAGUGAUGGACAUCUCUCUGGUGGAGUGCAGAGAGGAUCUGUCUCUUAUCAACAGAAACAGAAACUGGAUAAGAAAUGAUGGAUCUGAAUAUCAGGUUGGUCUGUUAUGUACU